UACAGAGGUCUCAAGCGUUGUUCGGAUUCAUUGGGCGUAAAGGGUGCGUAGGCGGCGCGGUAAGUCGGGUGUGAAAUCUUGGAGCUUAACUCCGAAACUGCAUUCGAUACUGCCGUGCUUGAGGACUGGAGAGGAGACUGGAAUUUACGGUGUAGCUGGUGAAAUGCGUAGAUAUCGUCAAGAACACCGAUAGCGAAGGCAGCCAACUAGGGGUUAACUGACGCUGAGGCACGAAAGUGCGGGAUCAAACAGG
rnacentral:rRNA from 1 species